UGAGUAGCGCAGGCAAUCGCAUCGGUUCGCCGAUGAGGAAAGUCCGAGCUCCACAGGGCAGCGCGCCGGAUAACGUCCGGCGGGGGUGACCCCAGAGAUAGUGCUAUAGAGACUUAGACCGCCUUAAAAUAUUUUAGGGCAAGGGUGGAAAGGUGCGGUAAGAGCGCACCAGCGGCCGGGUAAUCGGUCGGCUUAGGUAAACCUCGCGCGGAGCAAGACCAAAUAGGAAAGGGAUAAUGCGCCCUGCUACCUUUCGGGUUGUGUCGCUUGAGUCAAAAGGCAACUUUUGACCUAGAUAAAUGAUUGCCAAAUACAGAACUCGGCUUAUGAGCUGCUCAAGAC
rnacentral:RNase_P_RNA from 1 species